rnacentral:lncRNA from 1 species
GUGGGUCCAGCCCUUACGAAACUCGUCCCAGUGAGCCAGCAAGGCGAGCUUCACUGCGGGAUUUCUCCAAUCUAUGCCCCGCGGGGAACAUGGAGGCCUGAGAGCCCGUGGAUCCCAUAGGUCACUGAAAACACCAGGGACCGUCGCCCAUCAUGCACUCAGAGACUGCUCCAAGGUUCUUGGCGCUCCUGCUGCCUAUCCUGUUGCUGCUCCUGGCUGCCCCGCCUGUGGUUAGCAAGGGCUGUGUCUGCGAAGGCAAAGGAAAAUGCCUCUGCUGGGGAACUAAAGGGGAGAAGGGGGAGAUCGGCUUCCCUGGGCCCCCUGGAUUUCCUGGCCAGAAAGGAUUCCCAGGCCCUGAAGGCUUGCCUGGACCACAGGGACCCAAGGUCAGGCUCUUGGAGGAGUAGGUAGUGUGGUACCUGUGGGUCUCCCGCUCUUCCUCCCUUAGCCAAAGCCACUUUGCGUUUGGAUUCUUCCCUGAAAACAUUCCUGCAAAUUUCACCAGUGACCUCCAAAUGACCACUGUGGAGGGUACUUUUGGAUCCUGACCUAGCAUGAACCUCUGCUUUACUUCCCAUCUGGAAACAUCUGUCUGCCUUUGUUUUUGGACGUCCCCUAUCCCUGACUCUAUUCCUGUCUCCCCAUCACCCGUUCCUUUGUGGGGUCUGGUGAGCAUUGCGCUCCUCAGGUUUGAAGCAGGGGGCUGCCAGCUUACCAUGCAGCUUCAUCCUAAAGGCUGUGGUGAUAGUCAAAGGCUCUUGCUUCAAUAAAUACCCAAGAGGAACUACCAGAUAACCGUG